UUAAACUUUUUAUUGUUUCACUAGCUGAUGCCCGCGACUUCGUCAGCGUGAAUUUAGGUUUUUAAAAAUCCCAUGGGAACUCUGAUUUUCCGGAAUAAUAAGUAGCCAAUUUCACUCUCCAGGUAAU